rnacentral:rRNA from 1 species
AAAGCAGGGGAUCGCAAGACCUUGCGCUUUUGGAGCGGCCGAUGUCUGAUUAGCUAGUUGGUAGGGUAAAGGCUUACCAAGGCAACGAUCAGUAGUUGGUCUGAGAGGACGACCAGCCACACUGGGACUGAGACACGGCCCAGACUCCUACGGGAGGCAGCAGUGGGGAAUUUUGGACAAUGGGCGAAAGCCUGAUCCAGCCAUGCCGCGUGAGUGAAGAAGGCCUUCGGGUUGUAAAGCUCUUUCAGUCGAGAAGAAAAAAUUGCGACUAAUAAUCGCAAUUCAUGACGGUAUCGACAGAAGAAGCACCGGCUAACUACGUGCCAGCAGCCGCGGUAAUACGUAGGGUGCAAGCGUUAAUCGGAAUUACUGGGCGUAAAGGGUGCGCAGGCGGCCUUGUAAGUCAGAUGUGAAAUCCCCGGGCUUAACCUGGGAACUGCGUUUGAAACUACAAGGCUAG